rnacentral:rRNA from 1 species
GACGAACGCUGGCGGCGUGCUUAACACAUGCAAGUCGAACGGAAAGGCCCUGCUUUUGUGGGGUGCUCGAGUGGCGAACGGGUGAGUAACACGUGAGUAACCUGCCCUUGACUUUGGGAUAACUUCAGGAAACUGGGGCUAAUACCGGAUAGGAGCUCCUGCUGCAUGGUGGGGGUUGGAAAGUUUCGGCGGUUGGGGAUGGACUCGCGGCUUAUCAGCUUGUUGGUGGGGUAGUGGCUUACCAAGGCUUUGACGGGUAGCCGGCCUGAGAGGGUGACCGGCAACAUGGGGACUGAGAGACGGCCGAGACGACUGCGGGGGGCAGGAGGGGGGAAUAUGGCACAAGGGGCGGAAGCCUGAUGCAGCAACCCCGCGUGGGGGAGGACGGCCUUCGGGUUGUAAACCGCUUUCGCCUGUGAAGAAGCGGGAGGGAGGGUAAUGGGUAAAAGAGCACCGGCAAACUACGU